ensembl:lncRNA
UACCCAAUGCCCAAGAUUCUAAGAUGAAGUGCUGACAUGUGAAGGGAUAACAGGAUGGUUCUGCCAGCUUGAUCAUGUACCCCAGCUGGUAUAAGAAAAAAUGGUUGGACAGUAGAGGUUUCUUUGUGUGAGCUUUGUGUGAUAUUCCCUGCUCCCUCCUCACAGGAACAGAGGAGGCUUUACUUUUACCUCAAGCCAAUGAGCGAAGACUGAGGAGAUUUUGAUAUUUGAUAUCUGUGUCCCGGAGAUUGAGAGAGAUAGACAAUGGCAUUUGACUUAAGUCUGAGAAAUCCAAAGUGAAGAGGUAAAAAGAGAAUCCACUGGGGUAGUAGGCCCUUCCGCUCAAAUUGGGUCAUGUGGACAAAAUGACACUCCUUUCAAAGAACGGCCUCCUUCUCAUUCUCUGAAGAAAAAGGUUUGAGGAUGAAGGGAUCCUUUCCAUUUGACCUAUGUGAGAAUGUACAAUUUGCAAAGUAGGGAUUAUGUGCUAGAACUCCACAAGGUAUAGGGAAAAAUUGCAAGAGUUUUUGAGAUAGGUCAACCUAGUUUUGAAUCUGUUAUUGUUUAAGAACAUACUAUUUCUGAAACUCAAUAUCCUUAUCUGUAGGUCGGGAAAUUACUCUCUAAGACUACUGUGAAGGAUAAAUGAAAUAAGAUGAAAAUGAGGCAGAUACAUAAAAUAACUGUGUGACCUUAAGCAAACUGCAAAUGUCUUGGGUCUCUGUCUCUCAGUUUGCCCAUCCCAUUGUGUUGUCAAUGACACUUCCUGUCAAUGUUUGAAGUACAUAACAGGAAUUUUUUUAGGCAAGGCACAAAGUAUUGUUUUUUUAUAAAUGCUCAGUAAAUGUCAAGCCUGUAUUUUUUUGUGUCCAAAAUUAAAACUUUCGUUUUCGUUACAUAAGAAAGGUCCUUUUGGUGAGGGUGGGAAGGAUAUUUAAAUGGAAAGUUAUAUAUAUUAGGCCUGAAAAUUGUUAAUGACCUUAUUUAAAAUGACUAGAAAGGUACUUAAGGAAGGUAGCAGUUGUAGGCUUUCUUUUCUUAGGAAAUCAAUACUCAUAAAACUCAAGGAUGGAAUUGAGAAUUAAAAACCACAGUGAGUUUAUUUUAAAACAUGUAGUCUGUCAUCUUCGUUUUCCCUUUGGAUAACACAGUGUUUAUAUCCUGAGGUCUAUUUAUGUUGCUGCGACUUUCGCUGACUUUGAAGUGAACUUCACAUGGUGCUAGAAUCAGAACAGCGGGGCUUAGAGAUCACACAGUCCAACCCUCUCAUUUAAAAAGAGUAAAUUGAGGUCAGAGAGGAAAGUGAAUCGCCCGGACACCUCCUCUGUUUCCUCCGAGUUAUAAAAUGGAACCUCCUGUUGUUCUUAGCCACCAGGCCCAGCUCUGAGAGGCCAAGAGUCGUCCUCCCCUGCUCCCCCUCCCUCGGGCCUUGAUCUUCCACUAAACGUAGACAGUGCCUGGCACUUAGCAGGCACUCCAUAGUUCUCAAAAAGAGGAAUGGCAUUAACUGUGAACAGGGUUUCGUUCUCACCAGAGCCUGAUUAGAGCCUCUGGCAUUCUUGGUGUGGCUUAGGAGAAUCACUAACCGCUGGUUAAAGAAAAAAAAAAAAAAUCCUUGCUGCUCGUCUCCAGGAUACAUGCUUCAUGGAGAUGCCCUUGUGAGAGACGUUCCACAGCCAAUCAGCCUGCAAUUUAAUGCAUCCUCCCCGUGUGACUUCUCAUCUGCAGAUUCCUUUAGAGCCACCAUUUCCUCUGUCCGGGGCAUCUCGAGGCAUCCAGCAGCUCUCCUCUACUUGGCAAGCACACAGAUUUGUCAUCAAAGCUCAUGGUCAGGUCGGAGGGCUGCCGAGUUCUUCCGGGUGUCCUUUCAGGGUCUCAGAAAACAAAUUUCAUUUAUGCUUAUAUUUUAAAUCUGGCUGGUCCAAAAUUUCAGUAUUUACAAAAGAAAUCUGUUUAUUUCUUUUGAUGUGACUCAGAUAGAGACUAAUUUUAUUUGUAUAGUUAUCUUUAAGGUUAUGUGGGUUGGAGAAUGAGUCAUAGACAACGAAAAAGUAAAAUGUUGAGUAGGACAAACCCACUUAGAGGUUUGUAAUUUUGGAGGUUUUUGUCUGAAGAGGAGAUAGCUAAACCUGAGAGAGCAAUAAGUAUCCUGUAUGUUCCACGUAGGAGUGACCAGCUGUUCCCCUCUUUCCUAGGGUGACCCCAAUAGUCAUUAGGGUUAAAGGGCAGCAGUAGGCAUUUUUAUUAGAACCAGAUAACUUUCUGGAGUUCCUUUAAUGACAGAAAGAUACCUUCAUGGAGUCCCUUUCGCCUGUUUUCGAAUUCCUCCAAGGCCAGUUCUGCAGCUCACUUCACCUUGUUCACGGAUGAUCUGGAGCCCUGGUCCUCAAAGGAACCCAGGUGCCCUGGGCGGCCCUUGCAGCGAGCUCCUAGGAGCCCCGCAGGACGGUUUACAUGGUCGGGGGACAGCACAGCGCCAUCUGUCGGACAUCACGCCAAUUACUAUUAUUAAGUUGUUCGGACCUCACUAGUACUUAAUAAACGAAACUAUUAGAUUUACCCUAGGGGCACGGCGACAAAUUUGCUGAGACCUCAGGGAACCACGAGCCAAGAAAGUUUGGGAACCUCUGAAGAAUGGUUAAGAGACGUCAGAAAGAUCACAAUUGACAAAGGAGUUAGCAAAAGAAACCCUAAACAUUCUCCCUUUCUGUUUAUUGCCUGCAGACUUCCCCACUCUGUUCUUAGCUACGUAAACAAAGGCAGACAUCAUUGUCAGGAGCCAGGCUCCAGCUUCUCUGCCUGUUAUCAGUUUACUGCUACUUUACAGCUAAUGAACCCUUUCUAUUUAUAUCUUCGUGUCCACGUCUAUAGAUGGAUGAUAUUUAUCUGCACCUGUGCAUUUUUUCCUAGCGAUGUCUCCUUAAAAAAUUAUUUUUAAAAAGUUAAGGACAUGGGUUUAAUGUUACAGAAUGUGCUAGAGUAGAAGCUGUGUAGUUCUCACAUCUGAAUUGAGGGCCAUCAUGGGGAGAGGUGUUGAUGUGGAAUUAAUGUCCUCGUAGGUGACCUCUGUCAACUUUACAAGCUCUUUGAUGACUGAUUAGUCCAUUUAUAAAACAAAGAAAAUAAUGCAGAUGUUAUUGAGGUUUUGUGUUUAUAAAAUAUCCUAAGAUGCUCAGAUGAAAGGUGUGACAUGGGAAAUGCCGUCUGAGAUGGACCCUCCCACAGAGUCACAGCUGAUCCCUCUCAAUGUGACGGAAACUUGAUAUUUGAAAACUCCCUUGAUAAGAAUCGUGUGCUCAUCAGCUGUGCCUUUUCUCUGACAUUUGUUCCAGUUUUCUUUCCUCUUUACCAUCCCUUCAAAUUGGUUGACGUUUAUAACCUGCGAGAGAGUCAUUGAGCAAUGACUUAAGAGAGGCCUCCGCAAACACAAUUGCUUUUCCACCAGAGUCCACUCAGAGCCAGAAAAUUGCUAAAUUGCAACACCAUGAAGCCAAAAGUUGCAAUCAUCAUAUAAAGAACUUUAUUUUUGUGUAAGUGGAAGUUAGAACAGAGAGAACAUACACAAAGUACUAAAUGUAUAAAUACUAUCUACAUAGUAGAUAUGGAGGCGAGCAGAAAGACAGAAGAGAGUGUUUAUCGAGUUUUAUAAUCAUAAUAAAAAAG